AUUUCCGUCGCCUAAAAAUGUCUCAUAGAGCGUUCAGUUGUGAGAUCCAAAAACAGACCUGCAGUUACCGCUUAUCUCCGUAGGUGCCGCCAAAGACAACGAAACAGUGAUCUUUGAGAACUCGGAGCGAAUCAGGCCUUUAUUAGUUAUGUCUAACUAAUCCAAUUUAUAACCAUAUAUAACUCCUGUUUUCUAAACAUAAAAAAAUGUCCAGCAGUUCAGAGGGCAGAAUGCCUUCACUUCUCUGGAAGGCUUUUAUUUUGAAAAAGGAAAGUGUUAGUGUUCAGUUUCACCGACAGUUGCUGGAGAAAGUAGAACGAAAAAUACAUCGUCCUGAUGGAAUUAAUGCAGUGUUUUUUAUUAAGCUGAAUUCUCCAUUGUAGUGUUGUACUAGCAAGCCAUAGCAUUUUUUUCCCCGUUUUAUGGCUUUUAUUUGAGAAUUUACGGUAAUUAAUACGUAUUGUCACAAAAGAUAUAAAAUCACGUGGGUAUGUUAUAGAAAAUUGUCAUCAUAGCAGAGGCGUCAGAAUGACACAGACUUGAUUUGGAUUUGUCAGCCAUCAUCUACAUUCUAACAUCUCUAUGUGCCAUAAUAAGAUUUCUUAGCUGCGUUUAUCAAAGUAACAGUGUACGUGUGUAUAAUAGAUACAGUAUAUAUACGUAUAUAUACUCUAUAUAACACAGUUGAGCUUCAGUCAAGAGGUUUCCAGAGAAAGACUGGCUUUAACAAAUGUUUUUUUUGUGUUCCCUGAUAAAAUCAUAGACAGGAAAAACAAGAAAAAAACAUGUUUGUUGCUUGAGGUUUAUCUUCCCCGAUGAGUUUUGAUGGAUUUACUUUAUGCCAAAAAUAGGACACGAUUAUAAGUCAAGCAGGUCACUGAAAAAACUCAAAACAUUUUGUGACAGAUAGGAUGGGAAUAUCCAGAUGAGAUAAAAGAUGAGGGACAAAAAAAGUUGAUAUGGUCACAGAUCAACAGUUGUUGCAAACAAAACUAGCGAUUAAAUAAAUAAAGCAAGUAAACUAGCAAUUUGAUAAUAUCAGAAAUCUGAAAAAAAUAUGAGGUGUUGUGUUUUUAAUCAGACUUGAACAUGUUAACAUGUACCGUCUCUUAUAGAAGCACCUUUGGCUCAGAUGAUGGAGGUCUAGAUCAGUGGUUCCCAACCUGGAUUCCAGUGAUCGCUGCGUAGGACUUGUGUGAUCCAAACAUUUCCAAUAACUCCAGAGAGCGUUGAAAAGUCCAAAAAAUUUUGCUGAAAAGAGAUGUAAAAAUAAUAUCCGAAAAUUCACAACAAGCUUUUAUCUUAACAGAAUCUUCAGCUUCAAUCCAUAUUUGUUGGCGUUUAGCCUUUCAAAAACAACAUUUUCAGUGCGGCUACAAAGACGUUGGGAACCACUGGUCUAGAGAAAUGUUUGCUUAUUGAUGCGACAGGAAUGUGGGAACCCAGAUGUGCGAGGCUUUAGCAACAUCACGUGAAAGUGAAGCCGAGUGUGAAGGCAGGAUGGAGAUCUGCUUGGCGUUAAACUGCUUGACGUUUUUACAGAAAUAGUAAAAAAACAAACUGCGUAACGAGGUUUAUAUUCUAAAUGCACUAUAUACACUUUAUCUUAUGUGACUGCCACGGUAUAAUGUGUCCUGAUGAAUAUUAAUGAUUAUAUAGAAAUAUAUAUUUUUUGGUUUUGACUUGUUAACCUCUCAUGGUUGUGCAUUGAUUAUAUAACUUUCUGUUAAUAUCAUGUCAUGUACAGGUUGAUCAGGGGAGACAAUGCAAUACAAUGUAUUAUAAUAUGAAUAAAAGCAUGAUGAAUCUAAA